UCCACCUCAGAGUCUCACCUGGAGAGUUUCCAGUACUCUACCAGUCUCAGCUAUGAGAAGGAGAGUCAAGCAGGGGCCUAACCAUUUCAUUCCUAGCUUGGGCAGUGGCUAGCGAGUGGAAGGCAAUCUGCUACAAGU